GACGUAGGGCGCGAGCGUUGUCCGGAAUUACUGGGCGUAAAGGGCUCGUAGGCGGCCAACUAAGUCGGAUGUGAAAUCCCCAGGCUUAACCUGGGAACUGCAUCCGAUACUGGAUGGCUUGAAUCCGGGAGAGGGAUGCAGAAUUCCAGGUGUAGCGGUGAAAUGCGUAGAUAUCUGGAGGAAUACCGGUGGCGAAGGCGGCAUCCUGGACCGGCAUUGACGCUGAUGAGCGAAAGCUAGGGGAGCAAACGGG
rnacentral:rRNA from 1 species